rnacentral:rRNA from 1 species
GAUGAACGCUAGCGGCAGGCUUAACACAUGCAAGUCGAGGGGUAUUUAUCUUCGGAUAGAGAGACCGGCGCACGGGUGCGUAACGCGUAUGCAAUCUACCUUUUACAGAGAGAUAGCCCAGAGAAAUUUGGAUUAAUACCUCAUAGUAUAUAGACUCGGCAUCGAGAUUAUAUUAAAGUCACAACGGUAAAAGAUGAGCAUGCGUCCCAUUAGCUAGUUGGUAAGGUAACGGCUUACCAAGGCUACGAUGGGUAGGGGUCCUGAGAGGGAGAUCCCCCACACUGGUACUGAGACACGGACCAGACUCCUACGGGAGGCAGCAGUGAGGAAUAUUGGACAAUGGGCGCAAGCCUGAUCCAGCCAUGCCGCGUGCAGGAUGACGGUCCUAUGGAUUGUAAACUGCCUUUAUACGAGAAGAAACACUGCUACGUGUAGCAGCUUGACGGUAUCGUAAGAAUAAGGAUCGGCUAACUCCGUG